AAAUUGAAGAGUUUGAUCAUGGCUCAGAUUGAACGCUGGCGGCAGGCCUAACACAUGCAAGUCGAACGGUAACAGGAAGCAGCUUGCUGCUUUGCUGACGAGUGGCGGACGGGUGAGUAAUGUCUGGGAAACUGCCUGAUGGAGGGGGAUAACUACUGGAAACGGUGGCUAAUACCGCAUAACGUCGCAAGACCAAAGAGGGGGACCUUCGGGCCUCUUGCCAUCAGAUGUGCCCAGAUGGGAUUAGCUAGUUGGUGAGGUAACGGCUCACCAAGGCGACGAUCCCUAGCUGGUCUGAGAGGAUGACCAGCCACACUGGAACUGAGACACGGUCCAGACUCCUACGGGAGGCAGCAGUGGGGAAUAUUGCACAAUGGGCGCAAGCCUGAUGCAGCCAUGCCGCGUGUAUGAAGAAGGCCUUCGGGUUGUAAAGUACUUUCAGCGGGGAGGAAGGUGUUGUGGUUAAUAACCACAGCAAUUGACGUUACCCGCAGAAGAAGCACCGGCUAACUCCGUGCCAGCAGCCGCGGUAAUACGGAGGGUGCAAGCGUUAAUCGGAAUUACUGGGCGUAAAGCGCACGCAGGCGGUCUGUCAAGUCGGAUGUGAAAUCCCCGGGCUCAACCUGGGAACUGCAUUCGAAACUGGCAGGCUUGAGUCUUGUAGAGGGGGGUAGAAUUCCAGGUGUAGCGGUGAAAUGCGUAGAGAUCUGGAGGAAUACCGGUGGCGAAGGCGGCCCCCUGGACAAAGACUGACGCUCAGGUGCGAAAGCGUGGGGAGCAAACAGGAUUAGAUACCCUGGUAGUCCACGCCGUAAACGAUGUCUACUUGGAGGUUGUGCCCUUGAGGCGUGGCUUCCGGAGCUAACGCGUUAAGUAGACCGCCUGGGGAGUACGGCCGCAAGGUUAAAACUCAAAUGAAUUGACGGGGGCCCGCACAAGCGGUGGAGCAUGUGGUUUAAUUCGAUGCAACGCGAAGAACCUUACCUGGUCUUGACAUCCACGGAAGUUUUCAGAGAUGAGAAUGUGCCUUCGGGAACCGUGAGACAGGUGCUGCAUGGCUGUCGUCAGCUCGUGUUGUGAAAUGUUGGGUUAAGUCCCGCAACGAGCGCAACCCUUAUCCUUUGUUGCCAGCG
rnacentral:rRNA from 1 species